UUAUAUAUAUCAAAAGUAUAAAGUUGUGGACUUGACCAUAAAAAAAUUUCCUACUAGGUUUUCUAUAUGUUACUUUGUCAGCAGUCUGCCUACUGUGGACACUA
rnacentral:snoRNA from 1 species